ensembl:lncRNA
GUGGUUAGAGUGUAGGGGCGGCAGGUAGCCUAGUGGUUAGAGUGUAGGGGCGGCAGGUAGCCUAGUGGUUAGAGUGUAGGGGCGGCAGGUAGCCUAGUGGUUAGAGCGUAGGGGCGGCAGGUAGCCUAGUGGUUAGAGUGUAGGGGCGGCAGGUAGCCUAGUGGUUAAAGCGUUGGGCCAGUAACCCGAAAGGUUGCAAAAUCAAAUCCCCUGAGCUGACAAGGUAAAAAUCUAUCAUUCUGUCCCUGAACAGGGCAGUUAACCCACUGUUCCAAGGUCGUCGUUCAAAAUAAGAAUUUGUUCUUAACUGACUUGCCUAGUUAAAUAAAGGAUAAUGAUAAUAAAUAUUAAACCGCUUUAUAACCGGUGCCUAACUGGCAGACAUAAGCUGUGUGAGUUUCACGUUUGGGGAAGAUCAUUUUCACCAUAAAUAUGCACUUUUUAUAAUAAACUAUUAAAUGCACCUUUUAAAAUAAACUAUUAAAUGCACCUUUUAAAAUAAACUAUUAAAUGCACCUUUUAAAAUAAACUAUUAAAUGCACCUUUUUAAAAUAAACUAUUAAAUGUGUGCGCAUUGAUACGCUUCUAAUGUGAAGAAAAAGACCAAUAGAAAAAGCCUUAAUAGUUUAUCAACAUUUUAAGCUAAACGUUCUGAUCUGUUGCAUCAGCCUCACUGCUUUAAAAAAAAUAAAGAAAUUGGAUGCGAGUUGCUGUAUUCAAUUGGGAUCUAUCGCAUCCCACAACUGUCCUACAGUAUAUUUAUUUAUUUAUUGCACUGAAGAACAGUUGACCAAUAGCAUAGGUCAACUUUUGCACUAUGGGGGGAUAGUACAUUGGGCAUAAGCUAG